rnacentral:pre_miRNA from 1 species
AGCUUCUUGAAUCCGUGCACAGAUUUCGUCAGACACCAAUCAAUUUGGGCUGACCAGACUUCCAAGAUAAGUGAAGUU